rnacentral:piRNA from 1 species
ACUAUCGGAAGAGACCGGAACUGUUGGUU